rnacentral:piRNA from 1 species
UUCCAGAGUAUGUACUGUACCUACCGGC